GGGCACAUGGUGUAGUUGGUUAUCACGCUCGCUUAGCAUCAACUAAAUCUUGCGAGAGGUGUUGGGUUCAAUUCCCAAUGUGUCCA
rnacentral:tRNA from 1 species